rnacentral:rRNA from 1 species
CCUACGGUGUGCAGCAGUGGGGAAUAUUGGACAAUGGGCGAAAGCCUGAUCCAGCCAUGCCGCGUGUGUGAAGAAGGCCUUCGGGUUGUAAAGCACUUUCAGUGGGGAAGAAAGCCUUGGGGCUAAUACCCUCGAGGAAGGACAUCACCCACAGAAGAAGCACCGGCUGAACUCCGUGCCAGCAGCCGCGGUAAUACGGAGGGUGCGAGCGUUAAUCGGAAUUACUGGGCGUAAAGCGCGCGUAGGCGGUCUGAUAAGCCGGUUGUGAAAGCCCCGGGCUCAACCUGGGAACGGCAUCCGGAACUGUCAGGCUAGAGUGCAGGAGAGGAAGGUAGAAUUCCCGGUGUAGCGGUGAAAUGCGUAGAGAUCGGGAGGAAUACCAGUGGCGAAGGCGGCCUUAUGGACUGACACUGACGCUGAGGUGCGAAAGCGUGGGUAGCAAACAGGAUUAGAUACCCUAGUAGUC